UACGUAGGGUACAAGCGUUGUCCGGAAUUAUUGGGCGUAAAGAGCUCGUAGGCGGUUUGUCGCGUCUGCUGUGAAAUCCCAGGGCUUAACCCUGGGCCUGCAGUGGGUACGGGCAAACUAGAGUGCGGUAGGGGAGAUCGGAAUUCCGGGUGUAGUGGUGAAAUGCGUAGAGAUCCGGAGGAACCCCAGAGGCGAAGGCGGCGCUCUGGCUCGCAACUGACGCUCAGACACGACAGCAUGGGGAGCGAACGGG
rnacentral:rRNA from 1 species